rnacentral:rRNA from 1 species
GAUGAACGCUGGCGGCGUGCCUAAUACAUGCAAGUCGAGCGAACAGAUGAGGAGCUUGCUCCUCUGACGUUAGCGGCGGACGGGUGAGUAACACGUGGAUAACCUACCUAUAAGACUGGGAUAACUUCGGGAAACCGGAGCUAAUACCGGAUAAUAUAUUGAACCGCAUGGUUCAAUAGUGAAAGACGGUUUUGCUGUCACUUAUAGAUGGAUCCGCGCCGCAUUAGCUAGUUGGUAAGGUAACGGCUUACCAAGGCAACGAUGCGUAGCCGACCUGAGAGGGGGAUCGGCCACACUGGAACUGAGACACGGUCCAGACUCCUACGGGAGGCAGCAGUAGGGAAUCUUCCGAAAUGGGCGAAAGCCUGACGGAGCAACGCCGCGUGAGUGAUGAAGGUCUUCGGAUCGUAAAACUCUGUUAUUAGUGAAGAACAAAUGUGUAAGUAACUAUGCACGUCUUGACGGUACCUAAUCAGAAAGCCACGGCUAACUACGUG